rnacentral:rRNA from 1 species
CGGGGUGAGUAAUGUAUGGGGAUCUGCCUGAUGGCGGGGGAUAACUACUGGAAACGGUAGCUAAUACCGCAUGAUGUCUGCGGACCAAAGCGGGGGACCUCCGGGCCUCGCGCCAUCAGAUGAACCCAUAUGGGAUUAGCUUGUAGGUAAGGUAACGGCUUACCUAGGCGACGAUCCCUAGCUGGUCUGAGAGGAUGACCAGCCACACUGGAACUGAGACACGGUCCAG